rnacentral:lncRNA from 1 species
UUUCUGGCGGGUCUGGGUUCAGCUUAGAUGGCCUUGAUCGUACGGUGGACCUCAUUCUUCAUUGGUGAGUGGGGGUGCCAUCAUUGUACAUUAAAUGCACGCCCCACUUGCCAUGACCUUUGCCCUCUUGGUGAAUUGAAAGAGUGGGGUUUUGGUUCCUGGGAUUUCACACCCUGUUCUCUCCUGACCAGCUGGUCUGAUUGAGUGCUGCCCCACCUCUCUUCUCCCUCUUCUAAUUCGGUUGGGAUGUUGUCAGGUGAACUUUUUUCUAUUAUUGAUAGGGAAUUUUGUGUCUGAGAGGCUUCGCUUGCUUUGUUUUCUUUUUGUGUCCGCUUCUUGGAAUUUGGUUGGCAUGGCUUUGUAGGGAAGUAUAUAAGCUUCUUUUUUUUUUUUAAUCUAUUCUGUGUGGUGAAUUCUCACAUUUCCUUUUGUUUUCUUAAUUCUGAGUUUUUUUUUUUUUAUUCUCUGAUUUGAUUUUGUAUGGUAGACAGAUUUCACAACUGAUUGGAAUUCUUAUUUGGAGGUAAUGAUUAUAUUUAAGCUUUUAUGUUUUCUUUCUUCUCUGUUUCUUUAUCACAUUUAGUUUCAAUCAUGAUUUAGAAUUAGUUUCUUUAGAAAUUUCCUUCAAGAUGACAACUGGGUUUAGUUCUGUUGUUUCUUUCAGAUUUAAUUCAAUCUGGACAGAAAAACUUUUCCUCAGCGGGUUUGAUGCAAAUAUAAAUAAUUAUAAGCAUUAAAGCUGACUGGUUUAUUCUUCGCAUCUAAAUGUUUUUUUUGCAGGAUAUUGCCAAUUACAUGCAUGAUCACAAUGAUGCAGAGGCUACACCGUUCUAUGCAAAUUGCUUGCAUUUGUAUUUAUGGAAUGCGUGAUGCAUUCAUUCAAGGUUUGAACAACAUUAGUUUGUGUGUGACAAUUCACUUCUAAUCCUAUAUACUGGAGACUCGAAAAACAUUAUUUAAUGGGCAUAGCAUGUUAACCAUUUCCUUUCAUCCUUCCACAUUAUUAUGGUGGAAUUUAUAAUAGCAUAAAUAGUUGCAACUUCCAAUAGCCUCGCUAAACAUGUUGCCAUUGCUUUUGAUGGCUGCUGAGAGGUUGUCAGACAAUUUCUUAGGAAGAAGGUUCGGCUGCUGAAAGGUUGUUAUGAUCGAGGUUACUUCAUUGGGGUUGAGCCUUUUGGUUGCGAAUAUGAGGUGGCCUUCCAUUAAUGCAUUUGACAGGGCAUUUAGCAUUUUGUGUUUGUUUCUAUCAGUUUAGGCUAUUAUGAUGCCGCCAGUAUGAAGGCUUCAGGUUAUCUCACUUGCCUUUUGUUUUUGGUUUUACUCCUGUGCUUGCUGUCUUUUUACUUCUUUGUCCACUUAUUCCUCGUGCGAUCUGAAAAGGUGUCUGUUUGUUUUUCUGUUGUCUUUUUAAAUGGUCAAUUCUGGUCUACGUUGUCCAUCUUCGUAAGGGUUUCUUCCUACUCUUUUCCUUUAGCUCAGAUGUUUGUUCUUUUUUAAGAGAGGGAGGCUGUUGUGGUCCUCUGCUUUGUUUGGUAUCUGUCUUCUCUUCUUUUUUGCUGAUUCGAUUGGUUGUUUGAAGGAUUUAACUUUGUCUUGAGUUGCUUCUUUUUUUUUUCUUUUUUUUUCCAGCAGGGGUUGCUUUUGAAGGAGGUAAUUGGCUCUCUCUAUUGGUUCUUCGGUUGAAUAGAUUUUGGGAGAUUCUUACUGAUUAUCAUCCUUUCAGCUGAUUUCAGUAUGGCAUGUCAUGUGAUAAAUUCUUUUAGGUAAUUGAUGCAAACCAGAAACAACCUGGUUACCCCACUGGAGUGUGUUGAAGUAGCAUUAUAGCUAAGGAAAUUUGAUUGUAUCAUGUAAUUUGAACUGCCAUUGUAGUUUAAACUUAUUACCUCCACUUGGAACAAUCAAACUGUAAUAUAUUACCUUUCCACUGUUGUUUCUGGUUUGCAUCAGUUACUCAUAUUUCAUUGAACUAAGUGGGGUAAUUUGCAUCCCAGAUAUCUGUCAGUGCUAAUGGCAGUUCACAUUCUACAAUGGUAAAUUUCAUUGACUUGCAAUAUUGGUACAGGACUAUUCAUCAAAAAGGUCCAGGACUUGCUUGCUAGAGACUAGGUGGUUCAGGUUCAUCAUGCUUACAAGCUGCUGAUUGGCUAGCAAACUUGGGUUUUUUAAAAGGCCACUGGGAAAAGCUGCUACGGAUGCUCCCUCUUCUGGUUUAAUCCCUGUCUUAUUUUAUGAUAUUAUUGGGAGUAUAUCUUUAUUUAUUAAUUGCAUUUGCUUUAACUUUGUAUAUCAAACAUGCAGAGCAUGGAUUCAAAUUUAAUAGAUAGUAAAAGGCAGGGAGCGUGCUAUAUAUAUUGUAUAAAUCAAGAAUUAUGUGAUCUUCAUAUAUAUACACUUAACCGUGUCAGCCCAAUUAAGCUUGUAAUGCAGCUUCAAAUGAGGGAACUAGAAAGAAUGUUUGAUGAAGUAC